UGUAAACUUAGGUUUUUAGACAUUGACAUGUACUGGUAACAUUAUUAUAUUGCAUGGUACCACCGCCAGAAAGGCGGAAGCACCGAGUUGCUGGAAACCUCAGGAGUCAGGGGAUUGGCAGCUUGUAGCCGCCGGAUCAGGGCCAUCGCAGCUGGGAUGCCGCGGUUUUGGAGUCGUCGAGUUUCCCAGUACUAGCAUGUGUUUCCUUGUUUCAGUAUUUGCAGUCUUGGAAGAAGGAGUUGCGUGCGUGUCGUCCGCAGGAUGGAGUCGCAUAUUAGCAUCUGCUAGUUUGCCUGUCUGGUUUGCUAUUUUCUGUUAGAGGAAAUUCGUUGAAAUUACGAUACUGAGCAGAAAUAUGCAUUUUGAGGACGGAUUUUGCAGCUUUUUAAUGUGGCGUCAGCUCCGCGCUAGAGAUCCUUAUUAAAGCAGUGGCAUCAGGAGAUGGAGACUGCAUCAUAAAAUUGUAAAUUUUUUGUAUUUAUAACCGCAAAAGUUGGAGAUUUUGUUUAUCAUGUCCAUCUUUCGAUUCGUCUUUUAUAUUCUGGUGUGGUUUGCUUGGCAUCGCAUCGUCAGGAUCAGUUAGAGUGCGUUGUCGUAGGCUUGUUCAUUAGGAUACGUUGAGGCUUUGCGUGGAGGAAAGUGAUGACAAUGAAGAACAAUACAUAAGUGCGUUGUCGUAGGCUUGUUCAUUAGGAUACGUUGAGGCUUUGCGUGGAGGAAAGUGAUGACAAUGAAGAACAAUUUGGAAGCAGACAGACGUGCGCUUUUCGAUCGGAUAUAGUCUAUAGUGCGUAUUCAA